AAAUUUACCAGACCGUAUAACUACUGCAGAAGAAGAACUGCAUAACGCAACGCAUUCUUUCCAAAAGCUGAGCCUGCGUUUCUGAGAAAUCUGAAAUCUUUCAUUAAGAAGACAUCAGGUUUUAUUCAAGUUUAGUAACAGUCUUGUGCAGUUUUGCCACAUCCUCUGCAAAGGGUACUAUAACUCUGGGAUUAAGCCAGCUGGUGGCUGACUGCUGUGGUUCUGUAGCUUACAAUCCACUUAAUGAGAUUUGCUGUGAUGGCAGGAUUCUGACUCGAAGCAGCACUUACGCGAAAUGCUGUAGCAGAGACGUGUACUUGACAACCACUCAUUUGUGUUGUGGUAAAAACAACAUAUUUCAACGGAAGGAAAAUCAUUCUUGUUGUGGCAAUGAAACAUAUGACAUGACAACCCACUGCUGCUGUACUAACCCUGCACUAGAAGUAAAGCCUAAAAAUGAAACUUGCUGUUCAAAAGCAACAGAUUCUCGUAAAAAAGCAGAAAGCCAGCAAGGUUCUCCUCCCACCCGGUGAGUCACAAAGACAGACAAAAAUACUUCCUAGAGACAACAUAAGUAUAGGCAGUAUUACAGUAUUUAAAUUAUAUGCAGUAGCACAGACCUCCGGGGGUCUCACACAUUUUUUAAUCCCAC
rnacentral:lncRNA from 1 species